CUAGCCCAGGUUUAGCCUACAGGGAACCCCCUGAGAGGCUCCACGUUCCCUGCAGAGCUCAGGGCAGCAGCUGCACGAGUGCCUGAGCUCAUUCUGUGCUGGAGGAUCCUCUCGGCCUUGAGUAGCCCAAGGCUUUUGCCCUGUUACUCCAGCACCAGUUGUCGUAAGGUCACGUGGCCGUGCCAUUGCUCUAAUGAACGUGGGAGUUGGAGUACUGCUUUUGGAUUAGAGAGCAUGGUGUAAGAUAGGACUUGACCUUAGCCUGCAGUGUUCUGCGGGAGAAUGUCGUUCUCGGAGGAGGGAGGUGCACAGCCCAGCCCACAGCAGAGCAGCUGUGAGCAGUGAUUGAAAGCACUCAAGCUGGAAAUAACGUGUGGGUUUUGUUGGGAGAGUAAUUUGGGCACUGGAGCAAGUCUGUGCAGGCAGCAGUGCUUUCUCCUUCUGCUUAAAGGGUGAAAGCAUCUUGGCAGCUCGCUUCUUCAGUUGCAUGCCCUUGUUUUGUUUAACCACCACUCAUUCAGUUCGGGCUGCUUAGCUGCUGUAGUAGCUUAGCUGUAGGAAAAAAAUGGAUUCUGUGCAUUCAGGGAAACAUCUGUCGUCCUUCUGGGCAGAACCUGCAGUGAAUGCUGUUCAUGGAGCAUGCAGAGAGCUCCAGUUCCAUUCUGCAGCCAUACUGUUGCUUCCAAGAGGAGAGGACAGGCUGCAAAAGGUGGAGGAGGUGGCUUAGCAGCACCGCCUCACAUCUCCCAAGUCAGGCAGGUCCUCUGUGAAGCCUGGGAUAUAUGUGUAGCACAUGACACACAAGGAAGGCUUUUGUUCAUGUUUGUUCUCAGGUUGUUGUGCAGCUUUGCUAGCUGAGCCCUUUUAAUUGUCUUUAGUACCCAGAACACUGGGCUUCAAUGCAGGUCAGCCUGAGCUGUGUGUGCCUGCCGUGAGUCUUUGCAGUAAGAAGUGAGGAGUGGAGCAUUUAAAUGGGGAAAAAAUAGGAGCUACAAUGCAGCUAGAUAAUGUCAAUCUUGUCAUUGCUUUUAAUAUUCACUGCCAGGCACAACGAUCAAACUUUGUCAUUUUUAAGUUAAGUAACCCUUAGUCCUACUCAGCUUCUGUCUGCAAACAUGAAAGGGAUGAGUGAACCCACAGCUGCUAACAGCACAUCUCAAUUACUUAUAUUUCACUAGGUAUUUAAAGAUUUAGGUCUGGGCGUAGAGGAUGAAAGGGUUUUUCUUUAUCUUUUAAUAAGAACCUUGUCUUUGCAGCUAGGAAAAAGAGGAGGGGCUGAAGCAUCCAGCAGCAUGUUCCUCUCUUCCCUGCUGCCUCCUCUGUGUGGGCUGGGGGUAGGGAGAUCCCACAGGGAGUAAAACCAUGACCCUCUUGGGCUCCUGCUUACCACAGCCCUGCCCCACUUCCCAAAAUUGAUGGGUAAGGAUGUGUCGUGUUGGAGUUCUCAUGACAUAGCCUGGCUUGCAAUGCAAGAGACUGAGCGAUGUACGUGGGAAUUAAAUACGUGGGGCUUUGCACGCUUUAAAUAUGAGCAACAAAGGGAAGGAUCAUCUCUUCUCAGUGCCUGUAAUGCGAGAAGCUUUGAAAAAUCCCCGUAGUCGUUUGCUCUUGCUGUCUCCACUGGCUGACAAACCCUUUUGGGAAAGGACAUUGUUAGCCUCGUGCUGCUGGGACCUGGUGUAAAACAAAGCCAGCAGCUCUCGUGUCCCCUCAAAGGCAGCAGUGUAUUGCAGGAACAGAGCUGCUCUCCUUGGAGUAGCUGUGCAGUCUUAGAAAUAAGAAAACAUACAGUCAUGGUGAUCGUAGAAACCAGUGUGAGUUAAAGCUUCUGCCCCUGUUCAGGAGAAGGGUGUGAGCAGCUCCCACACAGUCCAAAGCAGCAGCCAGCACCCCGCCAGCCCCACGCCAACAGGUCACAGCAAGCAAUGGAGCUACUUCAAGGGAGUUCAGUUUGGUGGUGAGCUGUUGUGUAUGGCAUAACAGCCUGCACUGGUGCCUUGGGAUGCUUGCUUUGCUGUGAGCUGAAGGAUGGGAUGUGGAUGGCUGUUUGAGAGGCAGCCUUGGGGUGAGGUGGAGCAGGGUACAGCAGUCCCCAUGUGCUCCAUGCCACCAAACUGAGCCACCUGUGUUCUUCUGCAGAAGCAUUCCUUGUCUGAUGUUUCACUGCACUGAACCCUGCCUGUAUUUGUGCCUGGCUGAGAAAGCCUUGGGGUGCUGUGGAAGUACCAGUAGCUCAGCUGCACACCUAAUCCAGGCCAGGGAUUUUCUCUGCUGUGCUUUCAUUCCUUUACUUUUUAGGCUUAUCCAGUUGUUACAGCCUUAGGGCCAGCCUGAUGGCAAGAGGCGCAAGGUGAGGAGGACAUCAUCCUGCUGGGGAGGUGUAGCUGGGAGCCAGGUGCACCAGGUGCCUCCCAUCCUGCUGCUUCCUCUCUUUGUAUCCCAGAGCUGUGUCCUUGCUCUCUCGAGUGACUCCUGAGAUGGAAAAGAGCUCAUUGCAGUGGUUGAACCCUGAGAGCUAACGCCUUUAGGUCACCUUUCCUGGUACCGCCUUCACCUUUGGUCCCUCUGCUCAUGUGUUUGUGCUCGGGCCAUCCUUUCCUCCCCUGAGCUCUGAAAGAAGUGCCCGGUGCAUCACACAGCUCACCCAGAUGUGCAAGGUCAGGAAGCCAGCAGGGGAAGGUCUGCCUCAGCCCGGUAAAGCAGGAGAGCCAGGUUAAACCAACAGUUGUCCUGUGAAGUGGCUCCCUGGGACAUUACAGAUGCAGGCUUUGCUCUUCUGAGCUCUGCUCAGGUACACACCCCACCUUGGAGGUGCUCCUGGAGGAUUCCACUACAAAGGAGAAAAAAAGUGAAGGGGAUUUUUGUUCUUAAUGUAAGAAUCCUGCAUCUAAGCUGUGCCUGUGGGCAUGUAUUUAACUGGUGAGAGCUGUCAGUUUUUCUUGCAGCGGAAUUUAUUAUUUUGCUGAUGCUGCUUCUGUCUGGAGUUAGUGUAGCAAUAACAGAGAUAGAAGCUCCGAUUCUUACCUGCAUGAUGUCACCAUGCUGCCCACUGGGCUUUGGGCAGCUCUAUUCUCCUCACUGUGCGGCAGGAGAUUCCAUCAGGGCCCCCAGGGUGAGAUUCAGAUGCUCACAGAUGGGGUCUGGGUAUCCGAAUCCUCCAGGGAAAUUUAUUGGGGGAUUGUAGUUUCCAGUGUUCUGAUUUCACAUCCAGAGGCAGUGCUUUGUAUGGAAACAGCUAUGGUUUUUUUCCUUUUGUCUCCUGAGUCUAUCCGGUCCCUUUCUAGCCUAAAGAGAUGUACUUAUCAUCAAUAUCACUGUCCUUACAUGGUGGUCUUACACAAGGUUGGAAUGAAGCUGUAGGCUAAGUCGUACACAUGUCCCAGAAGCAAUGGGCUGCAGGAGUGAUCUGCUGCCUCAGUUUAACAGUCAAAGCAGAAGAAAGCUGAGGGAACAGCCUCUUUUUUCUUCUUUUUUAGCUCAGAAGAGCACAUCUCUGCUAAUUGGCUGUUAAACGAGAUUGCUCUCUGCGAGGCACUCUUGCCUUAUGAAGCCUUUAAGGAAUAAUGCUCUGAUCAGCUGCACGUAGGGCGCUCAAAUACAAUCUGCCUAAUGAAUGUGGGGCUCAGAGCAUCAUUCAGACGUUAGGGAGCCAAGGUUUUGGGUUAAGGAGCAGCCCCUUGGGCUGGGAAUGUGCUUUUUUUCUGAAAUGCUAAUCUUGCAGACAACAAAGGCUGCUUUUUAAUCUCAAAGGCAGUGCAGUCAGGUUGGAGCUAUGGCUCUUAGCUGGAGGUUUCCAGGGCUGCACGCAUGUUAUCGCACGUCAGGACCACCGGUGAGCCACCCACUUGCCUGUGCAUCCUUUGGCCCAAUUACUGUGCAUACAAAUAUUAUGUUUGUGUAUGUUUACUCCAUUUGGAAAAAUCUGAGCCUUGAGGGAUUGCAGCUUCCUUUUGUUGUGAAGCAGACUAAGCUGAGAGCCAGCUGAAGAAAUGCUUCUUGCUCACCAAGCUGUACUUACGGGGGGGGUCUGGGAGCUGCCACGCUCUGUGAUGGGGUGGUGGGAAGGCUGCUGCUGGUGCUUUGAUUUGGGGUCAGAAAGGGCGGUGUGGAAGGAGGGGCUCUCUGAGCAUAGGCAGGCACCUUCCUUCCCUAUGCAAAUCCUGCUGUGCUAUGCACGGCUCAGCCCCAGCAGCCUGCUUGUUGUGGGGCAUGGAGAGGGCUCACAAUGCUUAGGUGCCUGUCCCCCAUCUCAACUGGCUGAUGCACAGCAGCCCAAAGCCAUGAUACCACACAGCAGGGGAGAAAUGAGAAGGAGAAUGGUGUGUGCUCUGCUACAUUAGAGCUAAUGCAGGGGGUGUUUUAUUGCUGAUAUUAAACCUGGAUGAGGGCAAAGAGAGAAUGCAGCUGAUGCACAGCACCUGCCCCUCACAAAGUGCCCAAGCCUGUAGAGACCUAGCAGUGAUUUGGUAAAUCACAAGCAGGUUUCCAGCCUUCCCUAUAAUGGUACUCUUACAUGCUACCCGUCCAAUGGCCUCAAUUACUGGUGCAGCAGAUUAAUCUAUAAAUUGAGGUGGGUGUAGAAAAGCCAUCAGAAAGCAGCAUUUAGUGCAUGGUGCCUCAUGCUCAGUGCUGUCUGCCUCUGGUUGUUCUGACCAGACAGAUAAUGCAGUGCCUUGUACUAAAUCAUGUCACAGGGAGAGCGCUGAAAAGUGGUCUGGGUGCAGUGUGCAUCUGCAGGGAGGUUUCUGCAUGCAGCAAUGUGCAUGGGAAGUAAAUGGGAGUAAUGAGAUCUGCCUGACCCCAGCAUCCAGCUCCUCUUUUCCCUGCUCCCCCCACCAUGCUGCUGGGAGCCCGUGGGCUGUGCUGCUGGUGCUGUGACCUGAGCCAGGGAUCAGCCUGGGGCCACAUGCUGCUGUUGCAGCCCCACGUGGAAGCGGAGCUGCUGGCUGAGCUGAGUCAGGUUGCCACCUCUUGGUAAGGUGACAUUACAGGAUGUCUGCCCACAGACUUUGGUGGCCUUUUCUUUGGGAGGGGAAAGGAGGAGGGGAGGAGGUUUCCUUUGCGAGGGCAAAAGGCUUUAAACAAAGCCCAAAUUCUGCAACUGCUGGCUAAGUUAAAAGAAUAAAAAAGCAGCACUGGCACUCUGUGCUCCUUUCCCAGCUCCUCCUGACCCAGAGAUGUGACCAUCUUUACUGGCGCCUUUCCUUUGUGCUCCUUUCUCAGAUGAGAAUGAUGUGAGAGUUUCUUCCCUUGGCAAGGUCUUUACCCUGCUUGUGUUUUGUGCUCACAGAAGGGGUUUGGGUUGGGAAGAGAAGGGCAGUUGGACUAGAUGGUAUUAGGGGUAAUUUCCAACCUUAAUGAUUUGCUGUGGCAGGGACUUCCUAGAAGGAAUGGAUGAGGUUUGAUUUGGUAUUAAUUGACUCCUCAAAUCUCUAGCAGCAGACCCUGAAGAGAGCUAGGCAUUGAAAGCCAUGAGGUAAGAGGAGGAGGUAUGGUGUGCCCUGGGAGCCCUGGGGUGGCUGUGUCCCAGCUGGGAUGCACGCUGUCCCUGCUGGGUGCCCAUGCUGGGGUCACAGCAUUUCCCUGCACACUUACGGUCAAGCUGCAGCCUGCAUUUUCCAAGGAGGCAUCCACUCACAAUGGAAAGACUUACAAUUUGGGAUCCACCACAUCCUUUGGGAAGCUGUUCCCAUGGUUAAUGCAUUUACCAUGUAACUAUUUCAGCUCCCUGAAGGAGAUCGAAGCCUCUGCUGGCAGCCUGCCUGCCUUACUCGGUGCUGCUGAGCUGCACUGUGGCCCUGGGACAGAAGCCUUGCUACAGAAGGGCUGGGUGACCUAUCCUAAAGCUGGGGACCCAGAGCUGCUCGCUAUGGCUGUGAACAUGGAUGGGAGUCUGUUUGGUCUUCAUUCAGCAGCACGCUGCUGGUCCUGGGUGGAUGGUACAUGCACAUCUGCUUUGCCCUCAGUGGCUGAUGGGUCACUCAGGAUUUGGGAAAUCCUCCCGUGCAGAGGCUGUGGGAUUCUCACCACUGAAUGCCAGAGACACUGUGUCACCAAGAGCCUGGCUGGGCUCUUGGUGUCCCCAUUCCACUUCCUAAGCAGCUUUUGGUGGGUGAAUGGUGACCAUGAGACCUGCUGCUCUGUGCAGGAGGUGCCCAGCCAUCCUCUUUGCCCUCCAGCCAGAAGGGCACAGCAGAGCGAGGUGACACCUGGGUCCCUUUGGGGUCUGGCAGUCUGUUUCCAGCCAGGUGGAUCCCUGGGAAGAGCAAGGCAGUGCUUCCAAGUGCGGCUGCCAAAGCUUAAAGGCUCAGAAGUGGCAGUCAAAGCUCUUCAGCCAAACCCUGGAGAAAGAACCAACAAGACAAUCUUAUUUUCUCAUAUUCUCUACACUUUGGGCUCUCUGCUUUUGUCUCUUGGUUUGUUACUGAGCUGUUGCUGUGGCCAUCAGCUGUAUUAAAAAAGCAAAGUGCAUCCUUCCAUUGGUUAACUUCCCAUUGCUUUCAGCAGGCUGGACUUCAGCUUCUGUACAGCAAAAACCUUUGAGGGCACUUCCCUCCAGACUUUGCCCCUGCAGUGCCCGCCCUGGUGGGCUCCUUUGGCCAGCUCUUGGUCUGUGUCGGGGCAGCACCAUGGAGGGGAAGGUAACUGAUGGACACACCAUUGAUGCUGCCCUUCUCUGAAGCAAUUAAAUGCGAUCGAGUCCAAUUUCUUGUUUUAUGGCUGCUCGUAGCAGUGCCCAAAUGUUUAUGGCUCCCUGUAGGCCCAUGUGCUGCCAGGACAGCCUUCCCACUGGAAGUUAAUAUAUGAUAGUCGUGCUAUUUAUUUCCUUGCAUGACACUGCAAAGCAGCCGCUGCCCUGGGUGGCGCAGGCUGGUUACUCAUUACAGCGAUACAUUUGUGCCAGAAUGCCCGGAUGCUUGCUCACCCUCCUUUAAUUUCCUGGGAACUUUCCCCUGUCCCAGGCUGCCCAGCUUUGCAAACAUUUGCGUGUGGAAGGCGGUCUAUUUGUUUUCAUCGGGACUUUGCUUAAAGCUGUUGGAUUAAUUGCUGGGGGAGGGGGAGACCCUCCUUGCUCCUGUCUGGCUUUCUCACCCAGUUCUGAUCAAAGCCUGCUGCUGUGGGAAGCUGACGGGGCUGAGUGCAGAACCCUGGGGUCCGGUGUUGUUGGAGGGGCAGUUUUCUCAGGCUAUUGGAGUGCCUGGCACCAUAAGGAGCAAUCUGCCAGCAGCCCCGGCUGCUCCGCCAUCCCCACGCAUUCAGUGCAAUCUCGUUAGUGCUGGAACAAUUCCAUUAGCAGCACUGCUCCACACGGUCUGCAGCAGCCCCUGUGCCGAUCAAAUCCAGGUCCACGCAGUGAGACAUUCCCUGCGUACCGAGAGAGCCCGAACAAAAGGUUUGCUGUUAGACAAAGGGGAAGGAGCCGGCCUCCAAAGGGAGGCAGAAUUCCUCCUCCCGUCACCAGCAGUUAUUUUCUGGCUGUUCUUUUUUAAGAGCUGGUUUUGUGACUGCGGGUCCUUUUGCGUUUGAAGAUGUCGACGUUUUUAAGGUCUCACGGUGAAAUCAUGUCAGGGCCAGCGGUUCCAGCAGCUCUGAAUGUUCUCAAACAAAUGCCUUCUAAGAUAAAAAGCCGUAUGUGCUCAAUCCCAGCCCAGCACUGUGGCCAUGGUUGUUUUAUUUGAAACCUCCAGGCUGAGCUCAGCGCAGUCGCAGGAGCUGCGGGUGCUGGGAGUUGUUCAUUCACUCUUAUUGCUGUGCCUCAAUAUGGGCACCGGUGUGCUCAGCAGGAUCCAAUGGAUCCACGUGAGAACAGUUUGGGGAGUUCUGAUGUUUUAGCUGAAAAGAUUUUAACGAGUGUUUUUAGCUUUUUCUUCCCCCACUUGGCUGCCAUAAGCUGAUCAGCUCAGCUUCACCGUGGUUUUGCACAGUGCAGUAAAUGUGAAUCUUGGAAGCACAUGGAGAAUGCACUCAGGGACCGGUCAGCGUGCAGACGGUGCGUCCCCAUAGGGCAAGGCACAGGGUGAAGAGGCCGAGCGGUAUCAGCGGCCUCCUGGGGAAGAUCGGCUCCAAAAAGCAGAAGAUGAGCACACUGGAGAAGUCCAAGCUGGACUGGGAGAACUUCAAGGAGGAG